rnacentral:lncRNA from 8 species
UAGGUGAAGUCACAUAUUUGUAAAACACUGAAAAUGUGUUAUGCUGUAAAAACAUGUAUGUACCUCGUCCCGUGUCAGCUAUUCUGCAACAAAUGGUUGAAGUGUUUCCAAGCUGUCGCCUGCAUUCCAUCAUCACAAAUUGUCCCUCUUCACCUCUCUACCUGUGUGUGUCCCUCCUUUCUUCUAGGUAGAACCUGAUGAUAAUGUGGUCUACAGCUCACUAGCCCUACAGCUGGACCCAUUUCCUGCCAAAGGUGAUGAUGAUGUGACGUACAGCAGUGUUGUCCCCAAGAGGAGGAACCAGCUAAAUGUACAGACCAAGGCAGAACCAGAUGGUAAUGUGGUCUACAGCUCACCUACAGCUCACUAGCCCAACACCACACAGGUCAGUGUUGACUUAUCUUCUCUCUCAUUUACCUACACAGAUGAUGCUAAUCUCUCAACAAAGAAACAGACAAGACCAUACAAUACUACUGUAUGUGUACAAUACAUCACUCUUUAGUUACACAGUUUUUUAUCCUUAUCAUACAGACAAGCUGACUACAUUGUUAUCAUUAUUUCUAUAACAUGCCUGUAUUGUGCACCAAACUACUUUCUGUCCAGCAGAGGGAAGCAACACAGCAGUGACUGACAGUGAAGAUCUUGGUCCUAAAGAGCCCUUAUCCUGGAAGGACAUCCCACUCCCCCUCCUGUGUCACAACAUGAGUCAUGACUAUCUAUCUGCCUCCAACAUGCUUCUUCCCACACCUCCUAACCCACCUGUCUCCUUGUUGUGUCCAUAAACUACUGAAGACAGUCUGCUGUGCUUGUUUUGAUUAUCACCACAUAUGUUAUAUUAGUUACUGUAUGUACCUCCCACCUACUCCAAUGCCCUUUUCCCUUGUAACUGAUCAUGAUCAAAUGUGUAUAUUAAAUGUACAAAAUAAAUAGCUAUUGCUGAAUGCAAAAUGUAUUGAAAUUCGUAUUGGUAUGUUAAAAGUAGGCUUGAACAAGUCCAUAAAAUGUAAUAGUUUCUAUUUUUUAUUUAUUUUAAUUUCACCUUUAUUUAACCAAGUAGGCCAGUUGAGAACAAGUUCUCAUUUACAACUGCGACCUGGCCAAGAUAAAGC